UACGGAGGGGGCUAGCGUUGUUCGGAAUUACUGGGCGUAAAGCGCGCGUAGGCGGAUCUGCAAGUCGGGGGGUGAAAUCCCGAGGCUCAACCUCGGAACUGCCUUCGAUACUGCGGGUCUCGAGUCCGGGAGAGGUGAGUGGAAUUCCUAGUGUAGAGGUGAAAAUUCGUAGAUAUUAGGAAGAACACCAGUGGCGAAGGCGGCUCACUGGCCCGGUACUGACGCUGAGGUGCGAAAGCGUGGGGAGCAAACAGGG
rnacentral:rRNA from 1 species